rnacentral:tRNA from 1 species
GGAGAGAUGGCCGAGUGGCUGAAGGCGCUCCCCUGCUAAGGGAGUAUAGGUUGACCCCUAUCGAGGGUUCGAAUCCCUCUCUCUCCGCCA